rnacentral:rRNA from 1 species
AGAUUGAACGCUGGCGGCGUGCCUAACACAUGCAAGUCGAGCGGUAACAGGUGUAGCAAUACAUGCUGACGAGCGGCGAACGGGUGAGUAACACGUGAGCAAUCUGCCCUUAGCUUCGGGAUAGCUCCGGGAAACCGGAAUUAAUACCGAAUAUGACUUCGGCCGACAUCGGCCUUGGUGGAAAGUUUUUCGGCUAGGGAUGAACUCGCGGCCUAUCAGCUUGUUGGUGGGGUAAUGGCCUACCAAGGCGACGACGGGUA